UCUGUGACCCCCACGUCACCUCUGGUGACCUCUGGUGACCUCCGUCCCCACAGUUGUCCCCCUGUCCCUAUGCUGUCCCCACGUCUGUCCCCCCACGUCCCCCUUUCCCCCUGUCCCUCUGUCCCCAUGUCUGUCCCCUUAUCCCCCUGUCCCUCUGUCCCUCUGUCUGUCCCCAUAGUGCCCCCAUGGUGUGUCCCCAUGUCUGUCCCCAUGUCCCCAAAUCCGUCCCCGUGUCUCCCUGUCCCUCUGUCCCCACAUCCCCAUGUCUGUCCCCAUGUCUGUCCCCAUGUCCUUCUGUCCCCAUGCCCGUCCCACUGUCCCCAUAGCGUCCCCAUGUCCCCAUAGUGUCCCAAUGUCUGUCCCCUUAUCCCCCUGACCCUAUGUCCCUGUGUCUGUCCCCAUGUCUGUCCCCCUGUCCCCAAGUCUGUCCCCUUGUCCCCAUAUCCCCCUGUCCCUAUGUCCCUGCGUCUGUCCCCAUGUCCCCCAGUCCCCAGGCCUCUCUGUCCAUCUGUCCCCACAUCCCUAUGUCUGUCCCCCUGUCCCCAUGUCCCCCUGUCCCGGUGCCUGUCCCCAUGGUGUCCCCAUGUCUGUCCAACUGUUCCCAUAGUGUCCCCCUAUCCCCACAACAUCCCCAUAUCUGUCCCUCUGUCCCCAUGUCUGUCCCUCUGUCCUAUGGUGGCCUUAUGUCCCCAUGCCCCCCCAUCCCCAGGUCCCUCUGUCCCCGUGUCCUUUUGUCCAUCUAUCCCCACGUCCCCAUGUCUGUCCCUAUGUCUGUCCCCAUGUCCUUCUGUCCCCAUGUCUGUCCCCAUAUCCCUCUGUCCCACAUCCCCAUGUCCCUCCUGUUCCCCCUCGACACCCCACUGUCCCCACGAUGUCCCCAUGUCCGUCCCUCUGUCCCUCCACCCGCUGGCCCCAUGUCCCACAUCCCUGUGGUGUCCCCACGUCUGUCCUCACGAUGUCCCCAUGUCUGUCCCACUGUCCCCAUGGUGUCCCAGUGUCCCCAUAGUGUCCCCAUGUCUAUAGGGGAUCUAUAUCUAUAGGGAUCUAUAUAAUCUAUAGGGAUCCCAGGGACCCAUAGGGGCUCCAGUGACCUAUAGGAAUCUAUAGGGAUCCCAGGGACCCAUAGGGGCUCCAGUGACCUAUAGGAAUCUAUAGGGAUCCCAGGGACCCAUAGGGACUCCAGUGACCUAUAGGAAUCUGUGGGGAUCCCAGGGACCCAUAGGAGCUAUAGGGGUUUCAGUGAUGCAUAGGAACCCAUCAAGCUCAGGGUCCUAUAAGGGCUCCAGUGACCUGUAGGAGCCUAUAGGGACCUAUAGGGACCCCCAGGAGCCCAUAGGGGCUCCAGUGACCCAUAGGAAUCUACAGGGAUCUAUAAGGACCCCCAAGGACCCACAGGAGCUCCAGUGACCUAUAGGAGCCUAUAGGGGUCUAUGGGAACCCCUAGAGAUCUAUGGAACCCAUAGGGGCUCCAGUGACCUACGGGAAUCUAUAGGGACCUAUAGGGACCCCAUUGCCCCAUAGGGGCCUGGAGGGGCCUAUAUGGACCCAUAGAGGCCCCAUAGGGGCUCCAGUGACCUAUAGGAGCCUAUAGGGAUCUAUACGGACCCCAGCGCCCCAUAGGGGCCUGUAGGGACCUAUAUGGACCUCCAGGGCCCCAUAGGAGUCUAUAGGGAUCUAUAGGAACCCCAGGGCCUCAUAGGGGGCCUAUAGGGACUCAGGGCCCCAUAGGAGUUGCAGGGCUCCAUAGGAGUCUAAAGGAACCCAUAGGGACCCCAGGGCCCCAUAGGGGCCUGUAGGGACCUAUAUGGACCCCCAGGGCCCCAUAGGAGUCCAUAGGGAUCUAUAGGGACUCCUAGGGCCCCAUAGGAGUUCCAGGGCUCCAUAGGAGUCUAUAGGAACCCAUAUGGACCCCAGGGCCCCAAAGGGGCAUAUGGGGACCUAUAUGGACCCCCCAGGGCCCCGUAGGAGUCUAUAGGGAUCUAUAGGGACCCCAGGGCCUCAUAGGGGGCCUAUAGGGACCGCCAGGGCCCCAUAGGAGCU
rnacentral:lncRNA from 1 species